rnacentral:lncRNA from 10 species
CAGGAAGGCAACUCUUGACAAAACCCCAGCACCAAUUUGUUAGACCAGAUGUCAACUCUUCUUGUGGUGAAGGGUACAAGUUAAGUGGGAGUGUUUAUCAGGAGUGUCAAGGCACAAUUCCUUGGUUUAUGGAGAUUCGUCUUUGUAAAGUGUGAGACCUUGGACCACUUGUACAACUCCUCUGAAACUCUAGCCUUUCUUCUGUAAAGUUGGCAUAAGACUACAGACUAGGAGGUCCAGAGAAUGUAAAUAAAAAGUAAAAAGGACCA